rnacentral:lncRNA from 1 species
GAGAAAGCAGCCUGCUUUGGGAAUGCCUGGUAGGAAUUUAACUGCCAGAGAGGAAAGGUUUCCCAGAGGAAAUGUGAGACCUGAAAGGAACCAGGCUGAGGACGCAGCAAGCUUGGUGUGAUGCCAGAAACACAAGAGAGCAAGUGGAAGCCUGGCAUACCUCUUAAGUCCUAGUUUGAAACAGGAGUGCAACAGCCAUCUUGUGAGCAUGAAGAUGAAAGCCCCACACUGAGGAUGACAGCAUGGGAAGAUAAGACGUGCCUAGUGACAUUCCAAACCUCUGUAAAGGCCUGGGACUACCUACUUCUGAACAUCUUCUUAUGUGAGAAAAAUAAACCCACAUUUGGUUAAGUCUCCACUUGAGGUUUAAAAUAGAUAGCCAGACAAACAAACCUUGAAUUUGUUAGCUUUCAUUUACUUUAUUCUGUUCUGGUG